rnacentral:tRNA from 1 species
GCCUGGGUGGCUCAGUCGGUUGAGCGUCCGACUUUGGCUCAGGUCAUGAUCUCACGGUUUGUGGGUUUGAGCCCUGCGUCAGGCU